GAUGAACGCUGGCGGCGUGCCUAAUACAUGCAAGUCGAGCGAACAGACGAGGAGCUUGCUCCUCUGACGUUAGCGGCGGACGGGUGAGUAACACGUGGAUAACCUACCUAUAAGACUGGGAUAACUUCGGGAAACCGGAGCUAAUACCGGAUAAUAUAUUGAACCGCAUGGUUCAAUAGUGAAAGACGGUUUUGCUGUCACUUACAGAUGGAUCCGCGCCGCAUUAGCUAGUUGGUAAGGUAACGGCUUACCAAGGCAACGAUGCGUAGCCGACCUGAGAGGGUGAUCGGCCACACUGGAACUGAGACACGGUCCAGACUCCUACGGGAGGCAGCAGUAGGGAAUCUUCCGCAAUGGGCGAAAGCCUGACGGAGCAACGCCGCGUGAGUGAUGAAGGUCUUCGGAUCGUAAAACUCUGUUAUUAGGGAAGAACAAAUGUGUAAGUAACUAUGCACGUCUUGACGGUACCUAAUCAGAAAGCCACGGCUAACUACGU
rnacentral:rRNA from 1 species